CUCGUGUGUAAACACGGUGUAAGUAAGACUCCUGGAAGAACACCAGGUUGAUAGGUUAGAGGUGUAAGCAUGGUAACAUGUUCAGCUGACUAAUACUAAUAAGUCGAGGGCUUGACCUU
rnacentral:rRNA from 1 species